rnacentral:rRNA from 1 species
AUUGAACGCUGGCGGCAGGCCUAACACAUGCAAGUCGAGCGAGCGGCGGACGGGUGAGUACUGUCUGGGAAACUGCCUGAUGGAGGGGGAUAACUACUGGAAACGGUAGCUCAUACCGCAUACCAUCAGAUGUGCCAAGAUGGGAUUGGCUAGUGGGUGGGGUAACGGCUCACCUAGGCUACGAUCCCUAGCUGGUCUGAGAGCAUGAACAGCCACUCUCGAACGUAGACACGGUCCAGAUUCCUACGUGAGGCAGCAGUGGGGAAUAUUGCACAAUGGGCGCAAGCCUGAUGCACCCAUGCCGCGUGUGUGAAGAAGGCCUUCGGGUUGUAAAGCACUUUCAGCGGGGAGGCGUUACCCGCAGAAGAAGCACCGGCUAACUCCGUGCCAGCAGCCGCGGUAAUUC